rnacentral:rRNA from 1 species
UACGUAGGGGGCAAGCGUUGUCCGGAUUUACUGGGCGUAAAGAGCGCGUAGGCGGACGUUUUAAGUGUGGUCUGAAAGCCCCGGCCUCAACCGGGGAUGCGGAUUGCAUACUGGACGUCUUGAGGGGAUAGAGGAAGGUGGAAUUCCUGGUGUAGCGGUGAAAUGCGUAGAGAUCAGGAGGAACACCCGUGGCGAAGGCGGCAUCCUGGACUGGUCCUGACACUCAGGAGCGAAAGCGUGGGGAGCGAUCCGG